CGAUUCUAUAGUAACUUUUCGAAUCGCAUGACUUUACGUCGGCGAUGGUUCAUUCAAAUUUCUGCCCUAUCAAGUUUCGAUGGUAGGAUAGCAGGCUACCAUGCUUUUACGGGUAACGGCGAAUUACGGGUUCGAUUCCGGAGAAGGGAGCCUGAGAAACGGUACCACAUCUAAGGAAGGCAGCAGGCGCGCAAAUUACCCAAUCCUGAUUCAGGGAGGUAGUGACAAUAAAUAACAAUCCAGGACUUCGGUCUUGGAAUUGGAAUGAGAACAAUUUAAAUCUCUUAUCGAGGAACAAUUGGAGGGCAAGUCUGGUGC
rnacentral:rRNA from 1 species